rnacentral:rRNA from 1 species
CCUACGGGUGGCAGCAGUGAGGAAUAUUGGUCAAUGGUCGCGAGCCUGAACCAGCCAAGUAGCGUGAGGGAGGAAUGCACUGAGGAUUGUAAACUUCUUUUAUAAAGGAAUAAAGUGAGGCACGUGUCCCUGGUUGUGUGUACUUUAUGAAUAAGGAUCGGCUAACUCCGUGCCAGCAGCCGCGGUAAUACGGAGGAUGCGAGCGUUAUCCGGAUUUAUUGGGUUUAAAGGGUGCGUAGGCGGCCUUUUAAGUCAGCGGUGAAAGUCUGUGGCUCAACCAUAGAAUUGCCGUUGAAACUGGGAGGCUCGAGUAGGUUUGAGGCAGGCGGAAUGCGUGGUGUAGCGGUGAAAUGCAUAGAUAUCACGCAGAACCCCGAUUGCGAAGGCAGCCUGCCAAGCCAUGACUGACGCUGAUGCACGAAAGCGUGGGGAUCAAACAGGAUUAGAUACCCCAGUAGUC